rnacentral:rRNA from 1 species
GAUGAACGCUAGCGGCAGGCCUAACACAUGCAAGUCGAGGGGUAGAAGGAGCUUGCUCCUUUGAGACCGGCGCACGGGUGCGUAACGCGUAUGCAAUCUACCUUGUACAGGGGAAUAGCCCAGAGAAAUUUGGAUUAAUGCCCCAUAGUAUAUAACCUUCGCAUGUUGGUUAUAUUAAAGUUCCAACGGUACAAGAUGAGCAUGCGUCCCAUUAGUUAGUUGGUAAGGUAACGGCUUACCAAGACAAUGAUGGGUAGGGGUCCGUGAGAGGGAGAUCCCCCACACUGGUACUGAGACACGGACCAGACUCCUACGGGAGGCAGCAGUGAGGAAUAAUUGGUCGAAUAGGGCGGCAAGACCUG